rnacentral:rRNA from 1 species
AUUGAACGCUGGCGGCAGGCCUAACACAUGCAAGUCGAGCGGAGCGGCGGACGGGUGAGUAAGGCCAAGGAAUCUGCCUGGGAGUGGGGGAGAACGUCAGGAAACGGACGCUAAGACAGCAAACUAUCAGCUGAGCCUAGGUCGGAUUAGCUAGAUGGUGGGGUAAAGGCCUAACAAGGCGACGAUUCGUAACUGGUCUGAGAGGCUGAUCAGUCACACUGGAACUGAGACACGGUCCAGACUCCUACGGGAGGCAGCAGUGGGGAAUAUUGGACAAUGGGCGAAAGCCUGAUCCAGCCAUGCCGCGUGUGUGAAGAAGGUCUUCGGAUUGUAAAGCACUUUAAGUUGGGAGGCGUUACCAACAGAAGAAGCACCGGCUAACUUCGUGCCAGCCGCCGCGGUAAUAC